rnacentral:rRNA from 1 species
UAACGCGUGAGUAACCUGCCUUCAAGAGGGGGAUAACAUUCUGAAAAGAAUGCUAAUACCGCAUGACAUAUUGGAACCACAUGGUUUUGAUAUCAAAGAUUUUAUCGCUUGAAGAUGGACUCGCGUCCGAUUAGUUAGUUGGUGAGGUAACGGCUCACCAAGACCGCGAUCGGUAGCCGGACUGAGAGGUUGAACGGCCACAUUGGGACUGAGACACGGCCCAGACUCCUACGGGAGGCAGCAGUGGGGGAUAUUGCGCAAUGGGGGCAACCCUGACGCAGCAACGCCGCGUGAAGGAUGAAGGUUUUCGGAUUGUAAACUUCCUUUAUUAAGGACGAAAAUUGACGGUACUUAAUGAAUAAGCUCCGGCUAACUACGUGCCAGCAGCCGCGGUAAUACGUAGGGAGCAAGCGUUGUUCGGAUUUACUGGGUGUAAAGGGUGCGUAGGCGGCUUUGCAAGUCAGAUGUGAAGUCUAUGGGCUCAACCCAUAAACUGCAUUUGAAACUGUAGAGCUUGAGUGAAGUAGAGGCAGGCGGAAUUCCCCGUGUAGCGGUGAAAUGCGUAGAGAUGGGGAGGAACACCAGUGGCGAAGGCGGCCUGCUGGGCUUUAACUGACGCUGAGGCACGAAAGCGUGGGUAGCAAACAGGAUUAGAUACCCUGGUAGUCCACGCUGUAAACGAUGAUUACUAGGUGU